AUUGUGUCUCAUUGUCUUUUGACUUUUACAAUAAAUAAGACUUUCAAAUCGAGACAAUUUUAGGAUCGUGUGUGGUUUCAGUGACAGUGACUGAGCUGAGCAGCGCCUGUGAUUGGCUGAGACGUCUGUCAAUCCAACGGACACGGCUAAAGUCUUGGUCAAACGACAGCAUCUGGAACAGUCAUGACAUCUGAACAAAUACAGAUCGCUGCUGAGGGGUAGUGAAGAAACUACCAACUACUAAAUACAUUAGCCAAAUUAACUGUGCUAUAGGUCCAGGCUGAACAAGUUCAAGAGUUUUAAAUUAAGGAGAUCUGCCCCCCGCUGCGACCAAACGGGCUCAAAGGUUGGGAGGGUCGGUGAACCAGCAUGUCUUCACCCUCCUGGUGGCCUGAUGGCCUUCACCUGUUCUCCGUCCUCCUCUCCUCCGCACUUUCCCCCCUGCCCUGCAACAGACGUCUUAUCAAACUUGUUGGAACAGCUUGAUCAGCCACGCCAGGCUGGGAGAGGGGCCUAG
rnacentral:lncRNA from 1 species